rnacentral:rRNA from 1 species
GAUGAACGCUAGCGGGAGGCCUAACACAUGCGAGCCGAGCGGUAUUUGUUCUUCGGAACAGAGAGAGCGGCGCACGGGUGCGGAACACGUGUGCAACCUGCCUUUAUCUGGGGGAUAGCCUUUCGAAAGGAAGAUUAAUACCCCAUAAUAUAUUGAGUGGCAUCACUUGAUAUUGAAAACUCCGGUGGAUAGAGAUGGGCACGCGCAAGAUUAGAUAGUUGGUGAGGUAACGGCUCACCAAGUCAAUGAUCUUUAGGGGGCCUGAGAGGGUGAUCCCCCACACUGGUACUGAGACACGGACCAGACUCCUACGGGAGGCAGCAGUGAGGAAUAUUGGACAAUGGGUUAGCGCCUGAUCCAGCCAUCCCGCGUGAAGGACGACGGCCCUAUGGGUUGUAAACUUCUUUUGUAUAGGGAUAAACCUACUCUCGUGAGAGUAGCUGAAGGUACUAUACGAAUAAGCACCGGCUAACUCCGUG